CUUACGGGAGGCAGCAGUGAGGAAUAUUGGUCAAUGGACGAGAGUCUGAACCAGCCAAGUAGCGUGAAGGAUGACUUCCCUCUGGGUUGUAAACUUCUUUUAUAUGGGAAUAAAAUGUUCCACGUGUGGGAUUUUGUAUGUACCAUAUGAAUAAGGAUCGGCUAACUCCGUGCCAGCAGCCGCGGUAAUACGGCGGAUCCGAGCGUUAUCCGGAUUUAUUGGGUUUAAAGGGAGCGUAGGUGGAUUGUUAAGUCAGUUGUGAAAGUUUGCGGCUCAACCGUAAAAUUGCAGUUGAAACUGGCAGUCUUGAGUACAGUAGAGGUGGGCGGAAGUCGUGGUGUAGCGGUGAAAUGCUUAGAUAGCACGAAGAACUCCGAUUGCGAAGACAGUUCACUGGACUGCAACUGACACUGAGGCUCGAAAGUGUGGGUAUCAAACAGGAUUAGAUACCCUGGUAGUC
rnacentral:rRNA from 1 species